GUGAGUCCAGUCUUCUGCUUCUUCUACUCCUGACGAUGCUGUCUUCUCUCCGCCGUAUCAUAUCUCAAACAACAAACUUCAAUGGAGGGAUUUCUGGAAUUGACCUUGCCGAGUUCGUCUCCAGUAACAAUGGCGUCCUUAGAACGAGUUUGCAAGGAAGAAUAAUUCCUACCUGCGAUAAUCUCAAGAAAUUGGUUCAUCGUGACGAGAAUGUAGUUGCCAUCUUGGAGCGGAGUUCGUGGAUUCUUACAGGAAACUUAAUACCUCAGGUGAUGGUAAAUAUUGAAACUUUGGGAGAUGGAGGUGUUCCUCGACCCAAUAUUGUUAAUUUUCUAAAUCAGUCAGCCAAGAGUAUUUACAAUAAGCACUGGCAGAUUGAAGGAGAUUGUAAAAGAGAUUAAGGGGUUGGGUAUUGAUCCUUAUAAAAAUACGUAUCUUCAUGUUAUCCAGUUAUUUACAGGGAUGAGCAAUUCCAGUAGGGAGUCAAAGCUGGAUUCUUACAGAAGAUUGGGUUGGUCUGAAGAAGAAAUUCAGAAAGCAUUUAGGUCAUAUCCUCAGUGUAUGUUGAAAUCUAAGAAAAAGAUAACCUCCGUAAUGGAUUACCUUGUGAAUCAAAUGGAUUAUAGUCCAUCAUUUAUUGCUAAAUGGCCAAAUAUUUUUACUUAUAGCUUGGAGAAGAGGAUUAUACCUAGGUGUUCUGUUUACAAAAUUCUAACCUCCAAAGGUCUGGUUAAGAAUCAGAUUUCCUUAUCUUCGCUUAUGCAAAUGGGCGAAGAGUCUUUUUUGGAGAAGUUUGUGAUCAAGUUUGAGGUAGAAGUUCCGGAACUAUUGAAGCUGUACCCAAGUGCAGUAAAAGCUAGAACUACCUAGGAGUACUUCUGGAGGAUGUUCAGAGAUAAAAAUAUUGUACAGUUUGUCUCAAUUAAGACUUCAAACAUCAGAUGAAAAUUGAAUAGAAAAGCUUGGAGAAGAGGAUUAUACAUAGGUGUUCUGUUACAAAUGGGCGAUGAGUCUUUUUCAGAGAAGUUGGUGAUCAAGAUUGAGCUAGAAGCUCCAGAACAUUGGAGCUAUAUCCAACUUGUGCAGUUAAAUCUAGAGCCACCUAGUAGUAGUGCUUCUGGAAAUGCUCAGAGAUAACAAGACACUCGGGGAGUUCUCGGCAGGGAAAAUACAUGUGCUUAUUGCUUGCAGAAGCCAUGGAGUAGGGAUAUCCAAAUGGGGAGCAUUUGGACCUGCUUUCGCUUCCAGGUCCAUGACAACAGAUGCUCGCUCCAGGGAACCAGUUUCUUGUUUCACUAAUGACAUAGCUCCUCCGCGUAUAAAAUUCAAGAGGCUCGAUAAAACAGCCAGACAUAUCAUGC